rnacentral:rRNA from 1 species
GAUGAACGCUGGCGGCGUGCCUAAUACAUGCAAGUCGAGCGAACAGACGAGGAGCUUGCUCCUCUGACGUUAGCGGCGGACGGGUGAGUAACACGUGGAUAACCUACCUAUAAGACUGGGAUAACUUCGGGAAACCGGAGCUAAUACCGGAUAAUAUAUUGAACCGCAUGGUUCAAUAGUGAAAGACGGUUUUGCUGUCACUUAUAGAUGGAUCCGCGCCGCAUUAGCUAGUUGGUAAGGUAACGGCUUACCAAGGCAACGAUGCGUAGCCGACCUGAGAGGGUGAUCGGCCACACUGGAACUGAGACACGGUCCAGACUCCUACGGGAGGCAGCAGUAGGGAAUCUUCCGCAAUGGGCUAAAUCCUGACGGAGCAACGCCGCGUGAGUGAUGAAGGUCUUCGGAUCGUAAAACUCUGUUAUUAGGGAAGAACAAAUGUGUAAGUAACUAUGCACGUCUUGACGGUACCUAAUCAGAAAGCCACGGCUAACUACGUG